GUUAUGCGAAGGGAAGGUAUUAGCACCCCUACGCAUCCGUAGUACUCUACGGGAUCCACGCACAAAAGGAAGGAUAAUUGGUUGCUAAAAACGCUGCUCACACACACACACUGGCUGAAAAGAGACAAAAGAAAACUGACUGAAACUGACUCGGCAGGAUACCGCAUCCUGGGCCUACUUAGUCUAUCAGGCAUAGACAUCAGAGUCGAAGUAGUUCGGACUGGG
rnacentral:lncRNA from 1 species